UGAAACAACUGCUUCACAAAAAUAUCGAGCAAGGAAAUCUGGUCAAUCAACUCAAGGAAUCAGCGAACGAAUUUCACUCAAAAGAGAGCG